CCUACGGGAGGCAGCAGUGGGGAAUUUUGGACAAUGGGCGAAAGCCUGAUCCAGCAAUGCCGCGUGAGUGAAGAAGGCCUUCGGGUUGUAAAGCUCUUUUGUCAGGGAAGAAACGGCAGUUUCUAAUACAGAUUGCUAAUGACGGUACCUGAAGAAUAAGCACCGGCUAACUACGUGCCAGCAGCCGCGGUAGUACGUAGGGUGCAAGCGUUAAUCGGAAUUACUGGGCGUAAAGCGUGCGCAGGCGGUUUGUAAGUUUGUCGUGAAAGCCCGGGCUCAACCUGGGAAUGGCGAUGAAGACUGCAAGGCUUGAAUCUGGCAGAGGGGGGGUAGGAAUUCCACGUGUAGCAGUGAAAUGCGUAGAGAUGUGGAGGAACACCGAUGGCGAAGGCAGCCCCCUGGGUCAAGAUUGACGCUCAUGCACGAAAGCGUGGGGAGCAAACAGGAUUAGAUACCCUGGUAGUCCACGCCCUAAACGAUGUCUACUAGUUGUCGGGUUUUAAUUAACUUGGUAACGCAGCUAACGCGUGAAGUAGCCGCCUGGGGGNGGAGGUCGCGAGAAUAACUUAAAUAAGAGUAGAGCGNGNGAGNGCGACGACGACGACGAGGAGGAGG
rnacentral:rRNA from 1 species